GCGCAGGCGGUCCUUUAAGUCUGAUGUGAAAGCCCACGGCUCAACCGUGGAGGGUCAUUGGAAACUGGGGGACUUGAGUGCAGAAGAGGAAAGCGGAAUUCCACGUGUAGCGGUGAAAUGCGUAGAGAUGUGGAGGAACACCAGUGGCGAAGGCGGCUUUCUGGUCUGUAACUGACGCUGAGGCGCGAAAGCGUGGGGAGCAAACAGGAUUAGAUACCCUGGUAGUCCACGCCGUAAACGAUGAGUGCUAAGUGUUAGAGGGUUUCCGCCCUUUAGUGCUGCAGCUAACGCAUUAAGCACUCCGCCUGGGGAGUACGGCCGCAAGGCUGAAACU
rnacentral:rRNA from 1 species